rnacentral:rRNA from 1 species
CCUACGGGUGACAGCAGUGAGGAAUAUUGGUCAAUGGACGAGAGUCUGAACCAGCCAAGUAGCGUGAAGGAUGACUGCCCUAUGGGUUGUAAACUUCUUUUAUAUGGGAAUAAAAUGUUCCACGUGUGGGCUUUUGUAUGUACCAUAUGAAUAAGGAUCGGCUAACUCCGUGCCAGCAGCCGCGGUAAUACGGAGGAUCCGAGCGUUAUCCGGAUUUAUUGGGUUUAAAGGGAGCGUAGGUGGAUUGUUAAGUCAGUUGUGAAAGUUUGCGGCUCAACCGUAAAAUUGCAGUUGAAACUGGCAGUCUUGAGUACAGUAGAGGUGGGCGGAAUUCGUGGUGUAGCGGUGAAAUGCUUAGAGAUCACGAAGAACUCCGAUUGCGAAGGCAGCUCACUGGACUGCAACUGACACUGAGGCUCGAAAGUGUGGGUAUCAAACAGGAUUAGAUACCCGUGUAGUC